rnacentral:rRNA from 1 species
GACGAACGCUGGCGGCGUGCCUAACACAUGCAAGUCGAACGGACGAGGAGGAGCUUGCUUCUCCAAGUCAGUGGCGGACGGGUGAGUAACGCGUGAGUAACCUGCCCUUCAGAGGGGAUAACGUCUGGAAACGGACGCUAAUACCGCAUGACAUAUUUCCAUCGCAUGGUGGAGAUAUCAAAGGAGCAAUCCGCUGAAGGAUGGACUCGCGUCCGAUUAGAUAGUUGGUGAGGUAAUGGCUCACCAAGGCGACGAUCAGUAGCCGGUCUGAGAGGAUGAACGGCCACAUUGGGACUGAGAUACGGCCCAG